GAUGAAUGCUGGCGGCGUGCCUAAUACAUGCAAGUCGUGCGGCAGCGCGAGUAGUUUACUACUUGGCGGCGAGCGGCGGACGGCUGAGUAACGCGUGGGAACGUGCCCCAAAGUGAGGGAUAAGCCCGAGAAAUCGGGUCUAAUACCGCAUAUGGUCUUCGGAUUAAAGCUUCGGCGCUUUGGGAGCGGCCCGCGUACGAUUAGAUUGUUGGUGAGGUAAUGGCUCACCAAGCCGACGAUCGUUAGCUGGUCUGAGAGGAUGAUCAGCCAGACUGGAACUGAGACACGGUCCAGACUCCUACGGGAGGCAGCAGUAAGGAAUCUUCCACAAUGGGGGCAACCCUGAUGGAGCAACGCCGCGUGCAGGAUGAAGGCCCUCGGGUCGUAAACUGCUUUUAUGAGUGAAGAAUAUGACGGUAACUCAUGAAUAAGCACCGGCUAACUACGUGCCAGCAGCCGCGGUCAUACGUAGGGUGCAAGCAUUAUCCGGAGUGACUGGGCGUAAAGAGUUGCGUAGGCGGUUAGUAAAGCGAAUAGUGAAACCUGGUGGCUCAACCAUACAGACUAUUAUUCGAACUCACUAACUCGAGAGUGGUAGAGGUAACUGGAAUUUCUUGUGUAGGAGUGAAUCCGUAGAUAUAAGAAGGAACACCAAUGGCGUAGGCAGGUUACUGGACCAUUUCUGACGCUAAGGCACGAAAGCGUGGGGAGCGAACGGGAUUAGAUACCCCGGUAGUCCACGCCGUAAACGAUGGAUACUAGCUGUUGGAGGUAUCGACCCCUUCAGUAGCGAAGCUAACGCGUUAAGUAUCCCGCCUGUGGAGUACGGCCGCAAGGCUAAAACAUAAAGGAAUUGACGGGGAUCAG
rnacentral:rRNA from 1 species